GGUGGAUUUGCCUCUCGGUGAUCGUCCGCCCGCCGCAGGCGUCUUGGAAUUCGGCCAAGGUGAGCAAACGGCCGUGCGCGCAAGCGUAACAGCCCGACUCGAUCGCAAUGCGUGAAUUGGCCUGCGGCACGUAAAACAGAUCGAGCGCCGCUAGACCUUUGCCGGCCAUGGCCGACGCGACGUACGAGGCGACGCGCCCCAGGUUUUUUCUGGUGUCGAGAAAACCCGCCAUGCACUUGGCCGUUCUGGCAAUCAUGUCGAGAUCUCUGAUCCCACCACAGCCCCGGCCGUACGGACCCAGGGCGGUCCUGUGGAUAUCCGUCAUAGGAAACGACUCGAUGAUCGGCACGCAUGUAUUCGGCGGCAGCGAGGAGGAGACAUCGUCCGGCAGGCGGGCUGGGUUUCCGCCCACGAGCACAACGGCGUCGGGCGCGUCGUGUGCAUACUUGGCUAGCUUGCGUGCCAGGCGAUCCGCUUCAAUGGGCCCGCCGGACAGCGCCACCGCAUUGAACCAUGUACUGAACUCGCCGUCGCGUUUGACGCCGUGCGGCAUUGAGACGGCAACGUCGCACCACCCGUCUGGAGUUCUGUGGCCGCUCCAGUUCGCCACCGCAGAGCGAUGGUGCGGGGCGUACGCGCGAACCAUCUUGGCUGUGAGGCACGAGCCGGUGGCGACCAUGAGGUGUCCGGGCAGGGCACCGACGCGUUCGGCAAGCUGUGACACGGUCAUGUGUCCCAGGCCUGUAUUGUAGUGUUCGCCCGAAUCGUAGGACGCGCGCGACAAGGCGCGCGGUGCCGCCUGGUAACGGGCAGGCGUCUCCGUGGCGACAGGGCCAGGGAGGGCCGCGGCAGCGGACGGUGUAUCAGCGGCAGGCGCAGGCGCCACAGGGACGUCGAUCUCCGAUGAUGCCGCCGCCACAGGUGGCGACGCGGCGAUCGCGGCGACAAUCUCGUUCAGCUUGGCCACGAGAUCAGCCACGGCCGCGUUCUGCGCGGCCGACUCGGGAACGUUCACACGUUGAGCAGUUGCGGGAUUGGACAUGGCGUGCGUAUCGGACGCUGGUGACGGUGGCGGCCAAAAGACGCAAGGGGACGCGCUCGAGAGGAAAUCAGCAGGCGCACUGGUGAGUACGCUGUGAUGCCAGAGGCGUGGUGUAAAUAAAACAACAGACCGUCGACGCG
rnacentral:lncRNA from 1 species